CAGGAACGAUGGUGACGUUGAUUGGCUUCUAGAAACCGGAUACGCAAUGGGAAUGAGAACUGGGACCUCGUCAUGAGUAUCCGGGCAGAAAGACCCGACACGGUUUGGGCGGCGAGCAAGAGAAACCCCAGGGAGGUGGGGAAAUCCCUUGAGGUUUGACUCCCCCGUCCAGACAUCACCUUCUGGCCUAAGACCCUGAGAGCCUUGCCCAGGGACCUGGGACUUUGCCCUGACCACUCUCCUACCGCCUGGAGGACCCUUGUAUCCUCAUUUGAUGUUUCUAUUUUAUAAAAUGAUUUAUUCCAAAGAAAACAACAUGGCCUAGCUGUGAGCACCAGACCAGCUUCAAGUAACUCUGAGGUCUAGCUAGCACAGGCUCUGGGCCCAGGGGCUUCAGUAGUUGCAGCACACGGGAUCAGUUGCUCUGAGGAAAACUUGACCCAUCAGUUGAGUCUAUGAAUCCACCAAGAUAGCUACUGCCAAACACACCUCUGGCUCCCUAAAGACAGAGCAGCGAGGACAAGAGACUCGUGACUGCCAUAAUGCCUGUCAUCUGAGAGCUUUCAGAAACCCAGCAGGACCAUCCGGCUGAGGCUGAGAGCUGGGAAUGAGGAAAAGGAAAAAAGGCUAAAGGAAAAAGCCUGGGGCUGUGCCAGGAAGCCUUCUCUCAGGGUCUCAGUCCACACUGCUUGGCUUUCGGGAAGACCAGGGAUUGAACUCAGGCUGAGGGCAGUGAAAGCACGGAGUCCUACCCACUGGACCACCAGGGAAUUCUUGACAGACUGAUAGGCUUUUCAAUCCAGAACUUCUUCUGGGGGUAUCUAGAGAUAAUGAAGUCACACAGAGAGCAGGCAACCAUCACUAACAAGCAUGGAGGACAAUUUGAUGAAGAAAUGUGCUCUACAAAAUGUGAGGGAAGUGCAGCCAGGAGAGGCAGCUGGGAACCAAAUAGGAAUAAAAAGAACAAAAGGACACUGGAUCUUAGAAACAAAUGUGUAUUUUAAACUUUUUCAAAUACUUUGCCAUAAUCUCCUCCCAUUUCAAUUCUCCCUAUCCUCUUACCAUCCUAAGUUCCAAGACAAUAAUUUUUCUAGGAUGUUCUAUGAAUACCUUUCAUAUUACACUUUCUAGAAGAAUCUCUCUUCUUCCAAAUAACCCCUUUCAUCCCUUGCCAAAUUUCAAUAAGUUAUGGUGACAGAAAGAAAAAACAAAGGAACACUAAGUGGUUAAAAAAAUAAAGCAAGCAGCACUUACCUGCGUGUUAUGUCACUUGGGUCCUAGAAAGGAAGAGAAGACAGACUGUCAUGGAAAUAAGGUUCCCAGGAGCCGACACCGUUCCUUACGAUGAGCUCGCUGGGAAUGGGUACACAAUAGGACUGUACAGAGAAUUUUCUGGUGGGCUUGGACCUGUGCUAUUCUCCACUGUGGUAUCAGUUUAUGGGGACACAUGUUUCCCCUUCCUUUCCUCCAUUUGAGUCUAGAAUAUCCUCUCCAGAAAAACUUUCUUGAUCUGUUAGGACUUCUACUGUCUAUCAGAUUAAGACUGAAAUCUCAGAAUGCCUUUGAAGGCCUCUACUCAGCUGGCUCCAUCUUACCUAGCCCAUCUUCCCUUUAACUUCUUCCUCGCUUAGGCUGACUCCUCCAGAAAGGUGGCCCCUUUCACUCUAUGUAUCCUUCCUAUCUUCCAAACUCUCUUCCUCAGCACCUGCGGGCUUCCCAGGUGGCUCAAUGGUAGAGAAUCCUCUCGUCAGUGCAACAGCCACAGGAGACUCAGGUUUGAUCCCUGGGUCAGGAAGAUCCCCUGGAGGAGGAAAUGGCUAACCCACUCUAGUAUUCUUGCCUGGAAAACCCCAUGAACAGAGGAGACUGGCGGGCUACAGCCCCUGGGGUCGCAGAGAGUCGGAUAGGACUGACAUGCAUGCUGCACCUACACCCACCUUUUUAUUAUCACACAUUAAGUUUAUUAUCACAUUCAUGUGUUUCAUUUUAACCAAUGCACCUCCACAAAUGGAAUGUUCAACUCCUCUUUCCUGCUAACCCAAAUCUUUACAUUUUCCUCAAGGCUACCAUUACAAGCUGCUUCAUCCAUGAAGCUUUUCCUGACUAGCCUUUUCCAGAAUUCCUGUGGCUUCCAGUCUGAUUAUAAGAUUUAACACUCAAUUAUUUCUUAUAAAUGUACAUGUAUGGAUGUGAGAGUUGGACCAUAAAGAGAGUUGAGCAUCAAAGAAUUGAUGCUUUGAACUGUGGUGUUAGAGAAGACUCUUGAGGGUCCCUUGGACUGCAAGGAGAUCAAACCAGUCCAUCCUAAAG